rnacentral:rRNA from 1 species
CACAGAGUUAGCCGAUGCUUAUUCCCCGGAUACCGUCAUUGCUUCUUCUCCGGGAAAAGAAGUUCAUGACCCGUAGGCCUUCUACCUUCACGCGGCAUUGCUCCGUCAGGCUUUCGCCCAUUGCGGAAAAUUCCCCACUGCUGCCUCCCGUAGGAGUUUGGGCCGUGUUUCAGUCCCAAUGUGGCCGAUCAGUCUCUCAACUCGGCUAUGCAUCGUCGCCUUGGUAAGCCGUUACCUUACCAACUAGCUAAUGCACCGCGGGGCCAUCCCUUAGCGACAGCUUACGCCGCCUUUCAAAAGCUGAUCAUGCGAUCUGCUUUAUCAUCCGGUAUUAGCACCUGUUUCCAAAUGGUAUCCCAGACUUAGGGGCAGGUUCCCCACGUGUUACUCACCCAUCCGCCGCUCGCUUUCCCAACGUCAUUACCGAAGUAAAUCUGUUGGUCCCGCUCGCUCGACUUGCAUGUAUUAGGCACGCCGCCAGCGUCGUCCUGUAGCCAGGACUCGAAACU